AUUGAACGCUGGCGGCAUGCCUUACACAUGCAAGUCGAACGGCAGCACGGGAGCAAUCCUGGUGGCGAGUGGCGAACGGGUGAGUAAUACAUCGGAACGUGCCCAGUAGUGGGGGAUAACCCGGCGAAAGCCGGACUAAUACCGCAUACGACCUACGGGUGAAAGCGGGGGAUCGCAAGACCUCGCGCUAUCGGAGCGGCCGAUGUCAGAUUAGCUAGUUGGUGGGGAAAAGCCCACCAAGGCGACGAUCUGUAGCUGGUCUGAGAGGACGACCAGCCACACUGGGACUGAGACACGGCCAGACUCCUACGGGAGGCAGCAGUGGGGAAUUUUGGACAAUGGGCGCAAGCCUGAUCCAGCCAUGCCGCGUGCGGGAAGAAGGCC
rnacentral:rRNA from 1 species